rnacentral:rRNA from 1 species
GGUUAAGUGAAUAAGGGCGUACGGUGAAUGCCUUGGCACUAGGAGCCGAUGAAGGACGGGACGAACACCGAUAUGCUUCGGGGAGCUGUAAGUAAGCUUUGAUCCGGAGAUUUCCGAAUGGGGGAACCUCAUUGUUUUUAUCGACAAUGGUCCACUCAGUGAACACAUAGCUGAGUGGAAGGUAGACGUGGUGAACUGAAACAUCUCAGUAGCCACAGGAAGAGAAAGAAAAAUCGAUUUCCUGAGUAGCGGCGAGCGAAACGGAAAGAGGCCAAACCAGCGUGCUUGCAUGCUGGGGUUGUAGGACUGAUGGACGGGAGUGAAUGAGCUAGUCGAACGCCAUGGAAAGGGCGAUCAGAGAGGGUGACAAUCCCGUAGGCGAAAGCUCAGCCACCUCAUUCAGUAUCCUGAGUACGGCGGUACACGUGAAAUUCCGUCGGAAUCCGCCAGGACCAUCUGGCAAGCCUAAAUACUCCCUAGUGACCGAUAGUGAACCAGUACCGUGAGGGAAAGGUGAAAAGCACCCCGGAAGGGGAGUGAAAGAGUACCUGAAACCGUAUGCCUACAAGCAGUCAGAGCCCGUUAAGGGGUGAUGGCGUACUUUUUGUAGAACGGACCGGCGAGUGACGAUAGCAAGCAAGGUUAAGCUGAAGAAGCGGAGCCACAGCGAAAGCGAGUCUGAAGAGGGCGUUGAGUUUGUUGUCGUCGACCCGAAACCAAGUGAUCUACUCAUGUCCAGGCUGAAGGUGUGGUAAAACACACUGGAGGGCCGAACCCACGUCUGUUGAAAAAGGCGGGGAUGAGGUGUGGGUAGCGGUGAAAUUCCAAUCGAACUUGGAGAUAGCUGGUUCUCUCCGAAAUAGCUUUAGGGCUAGCCUCGGAUGAUGACUAUUGGAGGUAGAGCACUGUUUGAUCGAGGGGUCCAUCCUGGAUUACCGACAUCUGAUAAACUCCGAAUGCCAAAUAGUUUAGUCCGGGAGUCAGACUGCGAGUGAUAAGAUCCGUAGUCGAAAGGGAAAGAGCCCAGACCACCAGCUAAGGUCCCAAAGUUUCAGUUAAGUGGAAAAGGAUGUGGGGUUGCUUAGACAACUAGGAUGUUGGCUUAGAAGCAGCCAUCAUUGAAAGAGUGCGUAAUAGCUCACUAGUCGAGUGACCCUGCGCCGAAAAUGUACCGGGGCUAAACUGAACACCGAAGCUGUGGAUCCGUAGGAUGGUAGGAGAGCGUUCUAUAGGCAGAGAAGCAUGAUCGUGAGGACAUGUGGAGCGUAUAGAAGUGAGAAUGCCGGUAUGAGUAGCGAAAGACGGGUGAGAAUCCCGUCCACCGAAUGACUAAGGUUUCCUGGGGAAGGCUCGUCCUCCCAGGGUUAGUCGGGACCUAAGCCGAGACCGAAAGGGAUAGGCGAUGGACAACAGGUUGAGAUUCCUGUACUUGUUUGAUUUGUUUGAGCGAUGGAAGGACACAGAAGGCUAAGCGGAGCGCGGAGAUGGAAAAACGCGUCCAAGCAAUAAGUGAGAAGGUGAGUGAAAGGCUUGCCUCAGACUUCAUGAGUUGUGACGGGGAGGGAAAUUUAGUACCGAAGCCGCCGACGUCACGCUGUCAAGAAAAGUUUCUAGUGAGAAUCAAACAACCCGUACCGCAAACCGACACAGGUAGUCGAGUGGAGAACACUAAGGUGAGCGAGCGAACUCUCGUUAAGGAACUCGGCAAAAUGACCCCGUAACUUCGGGAGAAGGGGUGCUGACCGCAAGGUCAGCCGCAGUGAAUAGGCCCAAGCGACUGUUUAUCAAAAACAUAGGUCUCUGCCAAAUCGAAAGAUGAUGUAUAGAGGCUGACGCCUGCCCGGUGCUGGAAGGUUAAGAGGAAGGGUUAGCGUAAGCGAAGCUCUGAAUUGAAGCCCCAGUAAACGGCGGCCGUAACUAUAACGGUCCUAAGGUAGCGAAAUUCCUUGUCAGGUAAGUUCUGACCCGCACGAAAGGCGUAACGAUUUGGGCACUGUCUCAACGAGAGGCUCGGUGAAAUUGUAGUACCAGUGAAGAUGCUGGUUACCCGCGACAGGACGGAAAGACCCCAUGGAGCUUUACUGUAGGUUGAUAUUGAAUGUUUGUGCCACAUGUACAGGAUAGGUAGGAGCCAUCGAAGUCGGGACGCUAGUCUCGAUGGAGGCACUGGUGGGAUACUACCCUUGUGGGAUGACCAUUCUAACCCGCGACCAUUAGCUGGUCGGGAGACAGUGUCAGUCAGGCAGUUUGACUGGGGCGGUCGCCUCCUAAAGUGUAACGGAGGCGCCCAAAGGUUCCCUCAGAAUGGUUGGAAAUCAUUCGCAGAGUGUAAAGGCAGAAGGGAGCUUGACUGCGAGACCUACAAGUCGAGCAGGGACGAAAGUCGGGCUUAGUGAUCCGGUGGUUCCGCAUGGAAGGGCCAUCGCUCAACGGAUAAAAGCUACCCUGGGGAUAACAGGCUUAUCUCCCCCAAGAGUUCACAUCGACGGGGAGGUUUGGCACCUCGAUGUCGGCUCAUCGCAUCCUGGGGCUGAAGUCGGUCCCAAGGGUUGGGCUGUUCGCCCAUUAAAGCGGUACGCGAGCUGGGUUCAGAACGUCGUGAGACAGUUCGGUCCCUAUCCGUCGCGGGCGUUGGAAAUUUGAGAGGAGCUGUCCUUAGUACGAGAGGACCGGGAUGGACACACCGCUGGUGUACCAGUUGUUCCACCAGGAGCAUGGCUGGGUAGCUAUGUGUGGACGGGAUAAGCGCUGAAAGCAUCUAAGCGUGAAGCCCCCCUCAAGAUGAGAUUUCCCAUACUUUAAAAGUAGUAAGACCCCUGAAAGACGAUCAGGUUGAUAGGUUUGGAGUGGAAGCUUAGCAAUAAGUGGAGCGGACAAAUACUAAUCGGUCGAGGACUUAUCCAA